rnacentral:ncRNA from 1 species
UACCUGGUUGAUCCUGCCAGUAGUCAUAUGCUUGUCUCAAAGAUUAAGCCAUGCAAGUCUAAGUACGAGCUCUCGUACAGUGAAACUGCGAAUGGCUCAUUAAAUCAGUUAUGGUUCAUUUGAUCGUACAGUUUACUUGGAUAACUGUGGUAAUUCUAGAGCUAAUACAUGCGAGAAGCGCCGACCUCGCGGGAGGCGUGCAUUUAUCAGACCAAAAACCGGCCGCGUCUUCGGGCGCGUUCACCUUGGUGACUCUGGAUAACUUUGCGGAUCGCACGGUCUAGCACCGGCGACGGAUCAUUCAAGUGUCUGCCCUAUCAACUUUCGUCGGUACGGUAUUUGCCUACCGAGGUUCUUACGGGUGACGGGGAAUCAAGGUUCGAUUCCGGAGAGGGAGCCUGAGAAACGGCUACCACAUC